AACGAACGCUGGCGGCAGGCUUAACACAUGCAAGUCGAGCGAGACCUUCGGGUCUAGCGGCGGACGGGUGAGUAACGCGUGGGAACGUGCCCUUCUCUACGGAAUAGCCCCGGGAAACUGGGAGUAAUACCGUAUACGCCCUUUGGGGGAAAGAUUUAUCGGAGAAGGAUCGGCCCGCGUUGGAUUAGGUAGUUGGUGGGGUAAUGGCCCACCAAGCCGACGAUCCAUAGCUGGUUUGAGAGGAUGAUCAGCCACACUGGGACUGAGACACGGCCCAGACUCCUACGGGAGGAAGCAGUGGGGAAUCUUAGACAAUGGGGGCAACCCUGAUCGAGCCAUGCCGCGUGAGUGAUGAAGGCCUUAGGGUUGUAAAGCUCUUUCAGCUGGGAAGAUAAUGACGGUACCAGCAGAAGAAGCCCCGGCUAACUCCGUG
rnacentral:rRNA from 1 species